rnacentral:rRNA from 1 species
AUACAGAGGGUGCGAGCGUUAAUCGGAAUUACUGGGCGUAAAGCGCGCGUAGGCGGCUUGGUCAGUCGGAUGUGAAAGCCCCGGGCUCAACCUGGGAAUGGCAUUCGAUACUGCCAGGCUAGAGUAUGGGAGAGGGAAGUGGAAUUUCCGGUGUAGCGGUGAAAUGCGUAGAUAUCGGAAGGAAAACCAGUGGCGAAGGCGACUUCCUGGCCCAAUAUUGACGCUGAGGUGCGAAAGCGUGGGGAGCGAACAGGAUUAGAAACCCUAGUAGUCCC